rnacentral:lncRNA from 1 species
CUUUGUUUACCUAAGCAAGCCUGGGCAAUGGUGGGCGCCCCUCCCCCAGCCUCGCUGCCGCCUUGCAGUUUGAUCUCAGACUGCUGUGCUAGCAAUCAGCGAGAUUCCGUGGGCGUAGGACCCUCUGAGCCAGGUGCGGGAUAUAAUCUCGCGGUGCGCCGUUUUUUAAGCCCGUCGGAAAAGCGCAGUAUUCGGGUGGGAGCGAGCCGAUUUUCCAGGUGCCGUCCGUCACCCCUUUCUUUGACUAGGAAAGGGAACUCCCUGACCCCUUGCGCUUCCGGAGUGAGGCAAUGCCUCGCCCUGCUUCGGCUCGCGCACGGUGCACGCACCCACUGACCUGCGCCCACUGUGUGGCACUCCCUAGUGAGAUGAACCCGGUACCUCAGAUGGAAAUGCAGAAAUCACCCGUCUUCUGCGUGGCUCACGCUGGGAGCUGUAGACCGGAGCUGUUCCUAUUCGGCCAUCUUGGCUCCUGGAUCUCUGUGUCAACCUUCUUUUAUUUUUAAAAGAUAUUCACUGUCUCUUACUAAAGCUUCCUGUUCAAAGUCUGGCUGAGAAUUUUUGCUGCUUCUUUCCCUACCUCCUCAUUUCCGAAGGAGGUACCUUUCUGGCUUCUCUGUUGAACAUUUCCUAAAUAAAGUGUGGAUGAAAAGCAAUAGAGGAAGGAAAUGCAGAAAAUUAUAAGGCUGAAAUAGAAACUGGCCACAGCAGAGAUUAAAGGUUCUUCAUUAAUUUAGACAACUUAAGGGUAUCCUGAGGAGAUGAGAUCAGGACCUUCAGAUUACGAGACUCACGCCCUGCUGGCUGCGCUAAGAGGGCUCCUGAGGAGAUGAGAUCAAACAUAGGAAGAAAAAUGGAGUCUCCAAGAUGUCCACAUUUGAAUCUCUGGAACCUGUGAAUAUGUUACUUUAUAUGGCAAAAGGAACUUUGCAGGUGUGAGAAAAGUUGAGGACCUUGAGAUGGGGAGAUCAUCCUGGAUUAUUUGAAUAAGCCCAAAUUCAUCAAAUGAAUUCUUAAAAGAACCUUUCCUCUGAGAUGAGAGUCUGAGGGAGAUGUGGCUAUGGAAGAAUGGUCAGAGAGCAAUGCAAAGCUGCUGGCUGUGAAGAUGGAAGAAGGGGCCAUAAGCCAAGAAAUAUGGUUGGUUUCUAGGAGCUGGAAGAGGCAAGAAGACAUAUUCUCCUCUAGACCCUCCAGAAGAAAUGCAGCCUCACUGACACCUUAAUUUUAGCCCUGAAAGACCCAUUUCAGAACUCUGACCUACAGAACUGUAAGAUUAUGCUGUUUCAAAAUUGAUUAGUUCUCUGACUCGCACACUGAAAUCAUCCAACCUAUUGAAAAAGCAGAAUGGGAUGUGGAUUAUAGGGUUUCAGAUAACACCA